GACAACGCUGUCGCGAGCACAGAGGUUGGCAUGUUUCCGUUGCCGGAGUGCGGAAGGAUUUCGCAGUGUUUUUAUACCAUUGUGGUUGUCGGGCUGUUUAAUCGUUGCUCUGUUUUCGUUUGUCACGUUGAAGGCCUAAUGACGUAGACAGCAGUUUCGCAUCGCAAGCUUCUCGGUGCGCUUCGUACGAAAAGGGAAGUGAAUAUGUGUACGAUCGAAACCAACAAAUCGCCGCCGAUCGUGACCUCGAACUGCGACCACCUCGACUGCGUACUUGACGUAGUCUAGAGGAAGGGCGUGCGCUGAUUGAAGCGCGACACUCGCGUACAAAAAAUUGUGACGCCACGAAAGUACAAGGCGGAACCAACCAGCGUCCGCGGAACUCUGGCUGCAAGCGCCCGUUGCCCCGUUUACCUCACAGACCACUAUGAACAGCAGUCGCAGUGGAAACGCCUCUGCCUUCUGGCUUGAAGACACGUCGUCACUGCAAGAAGCAGCCCGGCUAUCAGCCCAAGUCAAGCAAGAUGCAGACUUUGGACCUGAUCCUUUCAAGCCAUCCACCAUCGACGACUCCAUUGAGCAAACAGUGCAGUCGAAAAAUAAAAAGGAGGUGAAUGCCGACGAUGACUACUGGCACAAAUCUGCUCAUGCUGCAUUCAACUUUGACGAUGACUUGGAUGACGACGGGAGAAGGAAUGUGCAGUCCAACAAGAGAACACAGUCUUCCGGCAACAAUGCGAAGAAAUUUAGCUUCGACGAAUCAAACCGGGUCACUGCGGAAGCCUGUGGCAUCACUCUACCCUCCCUUGGCUCAAACUUGAGGCGUGCAGGCCUGGAAGACGUACUACAGAAGCACGCCGAAAGGUUGAGAAUCGGACACGAUGUUCCUUCAAAAGGUCUGAAAAGUACAAACACCCCAGAGGAGACAGUGAGAAACAUUGUGAUAGGCCAGCCAUACUUCCUUGGUCAGCAUCGUUCAAAAGAAGACAAGAUUGCUCUGCUGAAUGAGGCGGUGCGUGUCCAAGAUGGAAACGCCAUAAUUGCUGUCUUGCUAUUUCUGAAGCAAACCCUGAAGCAGUCGCUCUUCAACCAAGAGCUGAUGCAGAGACCGAGGGCCGUGUCCCACUACGUCAGUCACCUUCGUGCUGUGCAGGACAACAGCCAGUUGAUGGAUGUUCUGGGUAUGCUUGGCAGAGCCGAGGACGCCGCCAUGGUCAAGUACAAGCUUGCUGUGGAAACACCAGAGGCUGCAACAAGGCUUCGAAACCUGCAGUCCUGUUACAAAUCCCACUUCCAGUCCGACCCCUCGCUCGAGAUGCAGGCUGAACUGGUCAGAGAAGAAUUGAAACUUCUCGAAAUGCAACUCAUCAUAGAGGAACAAGACUCAAAAGCGGAAAAAGAAGGUCAGAACAUACUUAUGCAAGAGUUUCCACGCAAGGCUCCCGUAGUUGGGACGUCCCUGGUCACAACACUUUACUACUGCUGUCUCUACCAUUACAAUGUCUCGAACAGCCAUAUUGCCAGUCCAAGCCAGAUGAAGGCUCUCUUCAAUCUGACCGAGAAACAAUUUGUCUGGACUGCUUUGGCAGCGUUAGCACAGAUAAAGCAUUGGAAAGAAAUUGACAACCUGUUUCAAGGCAAGUCGUGGCUUGGCAAGUCGAAAAUGCGAUGCUGCAUCGGCUUCGACAAGGCCGUUGAAAUCCUGGCCAAGGCGCACGCCCCACCUGAAGUGUUCGAGAGGUACCUCCAGAUGGUUGACGAUUCAGAAAAGAGACUAACAUUGGCCAAGGCACACAAGUGUCACAACGUUGUCAUUGAGCAACAAGAGACCAGCGAUGGCUAGCAGAGCGAAACACUAGUUUACCUAAGAGAUCGACAGCGGCUGCUUAGGUACAAGAACGAAGUUCCACCACAAUCCGUUGCAUUCUUCGAGAUUGAAAGGCUUCUCAAUGGCACGGUUGUUAAGUGGAAGAACUGAAGCCACCUUUCUUCU